GCACUGGGGGACAUGCAUGUUCUCUCACACACACAAAUGAACCUCCAGGUUAGAAGUUUACAAAAAUAAUUAACAAAAAGAAUCCAAAUAACCAAAAAAAUACAGAGAAGGACAUAAUUUGCUGUCGCUGUAUGACAGAGGAAUCAGCCUGACUCAUCAAUUAACAAUGGUAACACAAUCUGAACAGUUAGUUGUUUGGUGACUUCGUUAUGCAGGCAUCAUUCAGGGCUCAUCCAGAGUGGAUAUGACGUCCCUUGGUCACUAGGCCACUCUUGGUUUUUGUGUUUUGUUUUUUUUGUUUUUUUUAAAGACCAGAGCUCCUAUGUACCCCUGGGUUGGUCUAAAACUCACUACAUAGGCCAGGCUGGUCUGGAACUCAGAAGUGUGUCUGCCUCUGUCUUUGGUGCUGGGAUUAAAGGUGUGUAGCACCACACAUGGCAAGGCUAUUCCAUCUUAAGAAACCACCAUUUUUUUCUAUGUGUGCUACACCACAUGGCCCAGGACUGUCUGUGCACACACAAACAAAACAUGCACACGUUGUAAAGACAGUACAAAGACACUUUUCAUAAAGUGUUUGAUUUCCUACAUAUUUUAGGAUGAGCCUCAAGAAAAUAUUGAGGGUGGCUACCUCAGGAGGGUUUCUUUGUAUAACAGCACUGGCUAUCCUGGCACUGACUUUGUAGACCAAGCUGGCCUCCAACUCACAGAGAUCCACCUGCCUCUGCCUGCCGAGUGCUGUGAUCAAAGGUGUGUGCCAACACCAUCCGGUCCUUCAUUUUUUCUUGAAAGGCAGAAAUGCUUAUUCCCUUCCAAGCUUCAUGAAUAAAUGUAGGGUUUUUUGUAUUUAUCUAAUUGCUUAUUGCAGUGUUGGGGGUUGAACCCAGUACUUGCCGUGCUAGGCAAGCAGUGACUAUUGAGCGACACCUCAACCUUAACAAGCUUGAUUUUUAAAACUCUGGCAUCUGCUACAUAUUACUUAACUAUACCCGAUGUACAAAGACAGGUAUAUUCUGUUUUAGUUUUACAUUUCAGAGGUCCUUUAACGUAUAUAAACGUAAUACGUAUAUAUAACGUAUAAUGUAUAUAUAUAACAUACAAAACUGUACCAGUUUUAAAGAGAAGAAAGCAUUCCCUUUCUUGUUAGACAGAUGUUCACGUAUCCCAGGCUGGCCUGAAACUCCCUUAGGUGGCUGGGGGGACCUUCAACCUCUGAUCCCCCUGCCUCUCUAUCGCUAG
rnacentral:lncRNA from 1 species